rnacentral:lncRNA from 10 species
CCUUUUGAUAGAGCAGAAAAAUUCAAUCGAGGCAUCAGAAAACUUGGAGUAACACCUGAGGGACAGAGCUACCUUGAUCAAUUCAGGCAACUCAUCAGCCAGAUUGGACAUGUUGGCUCUAGGGAUGGAGCAGUGAAGAAGACAAAGGCUGUACUCAUGGAUCUUGAACUCUAGGUGGGGGAAGAUGCAGACAGAAAAAUACAUAGUAAUGCUAUGGGCUAUGUACGAAUGAUAAGAUCUGGUGGUCUUCAUUGUAGCAGCAAUGCCAUUAGAUUUGUUCCUGAUCUUGAAGAUAUUGUAAAUUUUGAAGAACUAGUAAAAGAAGAAGGUCUUGCAGAAGAAACAUUAAAAGCAGCAAG